UCGGCCGUAGCUCAAGGGUUGAGCGCUCCGCUCAUAACGGAGAGGUUGCGGGUUCGAAUCCCGCCGGCCGAA
rnacentral:tRNA from 1 species